rnacentral:rRNA from 1 species
UACGGAGGGUGCAAGCGUUAUCCGGAUUCACUGGGUUUAAAGGGUGCGUAGGCGGACUGGUAAGUCAGUGGUGAAAUCCCCGAGCUUAACUUGGGAACUGCCGUUGAUACUAUCAGUCUUGAAUACCGUGGAGGUGAGCGGAAUAUGUCAUGUAGCGGUGAAAUGCUUAGAUAUGACAUAGAACACCAAUUGCGAAGGCAGCUCGCUACACGAAUAUUGACUCUGAGGCACGAAAGCGUGGGGAGCAAACAGG